CUCUCUCUCUCUCUCUCUCUCUCUCUCUCUCUCUCUCUCUCUCUCUCUCUCUCUCUCUCUCUCUCGUAAUCCUUCUCCUUCCUGUAUCUCUCGAUCUCUCAAUCAUGAACAAGGUAGUAGAUCCAAAAUCCAUGCAGAUCCCCCACUAUCGAUUUUGGAUCUGCUCCGAUGGUGAAGUUUCUGCUGGAGCAUCAAUCUUAAUCGAGUUUGGAUCUGCUCCGAUGGUGAAGUUUCUACUGGAGCAUCUGGAGAAAUCGAUUUUCGAUCUGCUCCGACGGUGAAGUUUCGGCUGGAACAUCAGUCUUAAUUGAGUUUGGAUCUGCUCCGAUGGUGAAGUUUCUGCUGGAGGAUCUGGAGAAAUCUGGGUGUGGGAUAUUAGACGGGUCUUGCUGGGCCGUUCAUUGCGAGAAGAAGAUUGCUGGAGUAUACACCCGCCGCGGAUGGGUACUAUACAUUUUACCUUUUCUCUUUGUUUUGACUACUUUGUGUUGAAAUUGGAAUGAUUUUGAUUAUUACAAAUGUGACAAACUUCACUUUGUAGUUGAGGAAUGAACUAAAGUCAUUCCUAGGAUGAGUGUUUACGUCAUUUGGGUUGCUCUCUAGCUCUUUUAAUUAUCUCCUUUUGUGUCUGUAAGGGUGUGUUCUGUGGCCCUCAUCAUGCUUGUAGCGAGGUGUGAGUCAAAUAGAACAUGACAACCACUGAGAUUUGUUCAGAGUUUGUCAUCCUUGAAAUUGAUUGUAGGUUCUGUAGAAAUCUUAUGGUAAGGACCUUCUUCUCAUCUUUCUUUUUCUUCUUUUAAAUCUGUGUAAUCUGUUGUGUUCAUUAAGUGAAGAGCGAAGAUCGGAGGUCUAGAAACAUCUAUUCGAUCUUCAGCAUCACAGCUCCAUGCAAUCAUCGAUCUACCCAUGAAAGGUCUUCGAAUUUGCGGUUUAUCGAUUUCCCAAUCUUCAAACUUUGUUCUUUAGCACCAUUUUGACCGUUCAUUCAUCAAGGAGAGUUUCAAAUUGGAUUGGGCUUUGUAGAAACAAAUUGACUAAGUCUGUGCUUUAGGUUUUUGGCAUCAUUUAAUGUGAAUCUGGAGGUCAUGGUGAGGAAUGAAGAUAUGGUUAUCGUCUUUCUCUGUAAUUUGGGAACAUAUCUCAAGGCGACUGACCUUCAUCAUCAAUUUCCCUCCAACCAUUCUUCAAGGAAGGUUACUAAACAAAAUUGUUAGCGGGCUGGAUACUUAACAUAUUGUUUGCAGAGAAAAAUAGAGGGGUCCAUUCAGAUGCAAUUAUCAUGAUCGAAACAGAAAGAGGAAGACUUUGAGAAAUACAAAGAUAAGUUGCCAGAUUGAUGCAGAGACAAUGAGUUUGGGUACAAGUACAAUGGCCAGCAGUGACUAAGUGAGUUCUUAUCUUUGAUAUUUCUCUCCUUCAUGAUUGAUAUAACUUUUAGUUAUCUUUUGAACUUCUCGGAGAAGAAGAAGAAGAGAGAGAUGGAGGGAAACAAGAGGCAGAGAAGAGAGAGGUUCCGGAUGCAACUAGUGACCAUGAAAUUCGGAGGGAGUCUGUAGGAGAAGAAGGGAAUCCAGAUUCAAGCAGUGAUAGAGCAAUAGAUUGAGUUUCAAUAUGUUAUUGCAUAUUUUUGUUAAGUGUUACUCUUGGUUGUCUUCAUUAGGUACUUGGUUUUGGGCAUAACUUAAUUUGUACUUCUUCUAAUUACCUAUACUGAUAGUGCAACAACUUAAUUACAUUGCAAUGAAAUAGAUGAGUUAAUGAACAA